rnacentral:rRNA from 1 species
UACGUAGGCAGCAAGCGUUGUUCGGAAUUACUGGGCGUAAAGAGUGUGUAGGCGGUGCUCUAAGUUUGUCGUGAAAUCUCCCGGCUUAACUGGGAGGGUGCGGCGAAAACUGGAGUGCUAGAGGGUGGGAGAGGAAAGCGGAAUUCCUGGUGUAGCGGUGAAAUGCGUAGAUAUCUGGAGGAACAUCAGUGGCGAAGGCGGCUUCCUGGUCCAACACUGACACUGAGGUGCGAAAGCGUGGGGAGCAAACAGG